AACCGCGAUAGAUCAAGAUAUCUGGAAUGGUUUUUGAUCAAAAUCUAUAUGGCCUUUGGAUUGGACUGCGUCCGAUCAGGCUGUUGGUGAGGUAAUGGCCCACCAAACCUGUAACCGGUACGGGCUCUGAGAGGAGGAGCCCGGAGAUGGGUACUGAGACAAGGACCCAGGCCCUAUGGGGCGCAGCAGGCGCGAAACCUCUGCAAUAGGCGAAAGCCUGACAGGGUUACUCUGAGUGACUUUCGCUAAGAAAGUCUUUUGACACCUCUAAAAAUGGUGUAGAAUAAGGGGUGGGCAAGUCUGGUGUCAGCCGCCGCGGUAAUACCAGCACCCCGAGUGGUCGGGACGAUUAUUGGGCCUAAAGCAUCCGUAGCCGGUUUUACAAGUCCUCCGUUAAAUCCAGCUGCUUAACAGAUGGGCUGCGGAGGAUACUAUAAGACUAGGAGGCAGGAGAGGCAAGCGGUACUCAGUGGGUAGGGGUAAAAUCCGUUGAUCCAUUGAAGACCACCAGUGGCGAAGGCGGCUUGCCAGAAUGCGCUCGACGGUGAGGGAUGAAAGCUGGGGGAGCAAACCGGAUUAGAUACCCGGGUAGUCCCAGCUGUAAACGAUGCAGACUCGGUGAUGGACUAGCUUUAUGCUAGUCCAGUGCCGCAGGGAAGCCGUUAAGUCUGCCGCCUGGGUAGUACGGUCGCAAGACUGAAACUUAAA
rnacentral:rRNA from 1 species